rnacentral:rRNA from 1 species
UACAGAGGUCUCAAGCGUUUGUUCGGAUUCAUUGGGCGUAAAGGGUGCGUAGGUGGCGCCGUAAGUCAGGUGUGAAAUUUCGGAGCUUAACUCCGAAACUGCAUUUGAUACUGCGGUGCUUGAGGACUGGAGAGGAGACUGGAAUUUACGGUGUAGCAGUGAAAUGCGUAGAGAUCGUAAGGAAGACCAGUGGCGAAGGCGGGUCUCUGGACG